UACGGAGGAUGCAAGCGUUAUCCGGAAUCAUUGGGCGUAAAGCGUCCGCAGGUGGUUAAUCAAGUCUGCUGUUAAAGACAGAAGCUCAACUUCUGAUAGGCAGUGGAAACUGGUAAACUAGAGUACGGUAGGGGUUGAGGGAAUUCCCAGUGUAGCGGUGAAAUGCGUAGAUAUUGGGAAGAACACCAGUGGCGAAGGCGCUCAACUGGGCCGUAACUGACACUCAGGGACGAAAGCUAGGGUAGCGAAAGGG
rnacentral:rRNA from 1 species